GCUUAACCGGAGAAGUGCAUCGGAAACUGGGAAACUUGAGUGCAGAAGAGGACAGUGGAACUCCAUGUGUAGCGGUGGAAUGCGUAGAUAUAUGGAAGAACACCAGUGGCGAAGGCGGCUGUCUAGUCUGUAACUGACGCUGAGGCUCGAAAGCAUGGGUAGCGAACAGGAUUAGAUACCCUGGUAGUCCAUGCCGUAAACGAUUAGUGCUAGGUGUUGGAGGGUUUCCGCCCUUCAGUGCCGCAGCUAACGCAUUAAGCACUCCGCCUGGGGAGUACGACCGCAAGGUUGAAACUCAAAGGAAUUGACGGGGGCCCGCACAAGCGGUGGAGCAUGUGGUUUAAUUCGAAGCUACGCGAAGAACCUUACCAGGUCUUGACAUACUAUGCAAACCUAAGAGAUUAGGCGUUCCCUUCGGGGACAUGGAUACAGGUGGUGCAUGGUUGUCGUCAGCUCGUGUCGUGAGAUGUUGGGUUAAGUCCCGCAACGAGCGCAACCCUUAUUAUCAGUUGCCAGCAUUAAGUUGGGCACUCUGGUGAGACUGCCGGUGACAAACCGGAGGAAGGUGGGGAUGACGUCAAAUCAUCAUGCCCCUUAUGACCUGGGCUACACACGUGCUACAAUGGACGGUACAACG
rnacentral:rRNA from 1 species